GACGAACGCUGGCGGCGUGCUUAAUACAUGCAAGUCGAACGGAAAGGCCCUGCUUUUGUGGCGUGCUCGUGUGCCGAGCGCGUGUGUAUCACGCGUGUAACCUGUCCUUUUCUUUGGGAGAUCUCCUGGAAACUGGGGCUCUUAUACCGUAGGAGCUCUUGAUGCACGGGGGUGGUUGGUAAGUGUCGGCGGUUUGGGAUGGAGUCGCGGGUAAGCAGCUUGUUGGUGGGGUAGUGGCUUACCAAGGCUUUGACGGGUAGCCGACAUGGGAGGGUGACCGGGCACAAUAGGACUGAGGAAGGGACCAGAGGGCAACGGGAGGCAGCAGGGGGGAACAUUGCGAAAUAGGCGGAAGCCUGAUACAACGACGCCGGGUGCGGGAUGACGGCCUUCGGGUUAUAAACCGCUUUGGACUGUAACGAAGCGUGAGUGACGGUAACGGGUAAGAAAGCACCGGCUAACUACGUG
rnacentral:rRNA from 1 species